GCUUGGCCAUCAGAUCAGGCUUCUCUGUGUUCUGAGCACAUGUGGUGCCAGCCAUUUUGCUUGGCUUCGCUUCUUCCCGUUGUUUGCAGGGCUCCACCUUUGGGGCCUUUGCAGGAGGGUUUCCUCUCAGAAUUGGACCAGGAUAUUACCCGCCGGUCCUGGGGGGGGGAGCAGGGUGUCAGUGGGUCUGUACCUCAAAUGUAUGAGAGAGGAGAGUGGCAGCCUCUCCCCGGUUCCACCAUCUGUAGGCCGCGUCUAUCCACCGUGGGCUCCUAAUCUCCAAAACGCUCGGGAAAAGUAUCAGGCUUGUCACAAG